CGUCAGGUAGCUCAGUGGUCUAGAGCAGUCGCCUGGCAAGAGAAAGACCCGGGUUCGAUUCCCGGUCUAGCAA
rfam:Harpegnathos saltator strain R22 G/1 HarSal_1.0_1.contig4827, whole genome shotgun sequence.